GCUGGGCAUGGUGGUGCGUGCCUGUAAUCCCAGUUACUUGGGAGGCUGAGACAGGAGAAUCACUUGAAUCCGGGAGGUGAAGGUUGCAGUGAGCCACGAUUGCACCACUGCACUCCAACCUGGGCAAUAGAGUGAGACUUUGUCUCAA
rnacentral:SRP_RNA from 1 species